UACGUAGGUGGCGAGCGUUGUCCGGAAUCACUGGGCGUAAAGGGCGCGUAGGCGGCGCUUCAAGUCGCAUGUGAAGGACCAGGGCUUAACCUUGGGGGGUCAUGCGAAACUGGAGUGCUUGAGUGCAGUAGAGGUAAGCGGAAUUCCUGGUGUAGCGGUAAAAUGCGUAGAGAUCAGGAGGAACACCCGUGGCGAAGGCGGCACUCUGGGUCGGCCCUGACGCUGAGGCGCGAAAGCGUGGGGAGCAAACAGG
rnacentral:rRNA from 1 species